CCAUCCACUGCAGCAAACCUUACUUUGGAUCCAGGUUUCAGUAGCUCUACUGCAGUCUGAAUCCAGCUCUUCACCAUUUUGCUAACAUUAAGAUAGGAAGGUAGACAGAGGACAAGAAGGAAAAGUGAAAGCUGGGCAGAUAUAAAACACUUUGUAACCAGGAGCUUCAUUGUCAGAGACUUUGUUAACUGAGGUCACUCUGCCUUUGAUUCUGUGGUUUUGGCCCUUUCUGUCAGGAAGCCAACUCAGGCAUGAGAAUCGACUGAUUAUCCUGACAUGGAAGGCCAAGGCUGGUGGAAAGGGAGGGAGAGACAAGGAGGAGAGUUGGAACAGAGAUAAGGCUCAUCUGGCUUGGUUGUUGUGGGAACCAGAGAGCUGAAGAUGGUGGAAUGUAACCUGGUUUGGGGAGGGUGACAUUUUACUGGAGUAUAUAGUAGGUGGCAUAGAAUAGACUGGUAGAAUUAGGACGCGGAACAAUGGCUUCAAACUACAAGAGAGGAGAUUCCAUCUGAACAUUAGGAAGAACUUCCUGACUGUGAGAGCCGUUCAGCAGUGGAACUCUCUGCCCCAGAGUGUGGUGGAGGCUCCUUCUUUGGAAGCUUUUAAGCAGAGGCUGGAUGGCCAUUUGUCAGGGGUGAUUUGAAUGCAAUAUUCCUGCUUCUUGGCAGGGGGUUGGACUGGAUGGCCCAUGAGGUCUCUUCCAACUCUUUGAUUCUAUGAUUCUAUGAAUUAGCUUUAUUGAAUUCUGGCAAGAAGGAAAAUAAAGACUUGUUUCUAGUGAUUGCAUUGUGAGUGUCUUCAUUCCAAGACCUUCCAGAUCUUACACUUUUAGCUUCUGUAAGAAGUGUUUAUCUUCUAGUAGAAAAACAAAUGAUGACAGCAUCCCAAAGUGUAUUGGGAUACAUGGUAUAUGGAAUGAAUUGUAUUUGCUGGGGGAAAAACAUGGGCAAGGAUCCCCCACAAAUAUAAGGUUGUCGAUAUCACCUGCUACUAGAAGCAUCAUGGAAUAUGAUCAAUCAAAAGUUCAAAUACAAGGAAAACUGAAGGUCCAUCUGGAUUUCCACACAGUUCAAGACAGUUCCGGAGCAGCAGCGGUCUACUGAACAUGGAUUCACACUUCCUCUAAACCUCUCUCUGGAUUUAUCUGACAACUUACCUUGCUGUGCAGCCUUCAAAACUCUUUCCAAUUUACAGUGACCCAAAAGAAACCUAUAACUAGUUUUCCUUGGUGAGGUUUGUUAAGAGGGGGCCUGCCUUUCCCUUUCUCUGAGAAUGGGAAAGUGUGACUUGCCCAAGUUUAUCCAGUGGGAGUUUCCAUGGUCAA